GGAUGUGAGGGUGACCUGGCUGCAACAUUGGUCACCCAUUGAUUGCCAAGGUUGAUCUAGCUGGCUAGGCAGUGCCCCCUUCCUCCAUCCCUGCUCCAUAUGCACCCUUCCUUAAGAGCACUGGGUCAAAGAGGAUGACCUUCCCCAAAUAGAGGAGGACCAAUCUUCAGUCAAGGGUAUAUCAGCUGAGCAGCUGGCUAGAACCUAGCCUAGAAACAAGCUCUAAAAUGCCGAGCUCAUAGACAUCUGGACAUUUAGUGAUAAACUCAGCC
rnacentral:snRNA from 1 species